rnacentral:rRNA from 1 species
CACGCUGUAAACAAUGGAUGCUAGGUGUUUGGUAUGACCACUUUCUAUCUUCGGAUUCUAAGUGGAAGUACCAAGUGCCGCAGCUAACGCGUUAAGCAUCCCGCCUGGGAAGUACGGCCGCAAGGCUAAAACUCAAAUGAAUUGGCGGGGACCCGCACAAGCGGAGUAGCGCGUGGUUUAAUUCGAUGGCAAUCGAACAACCUUACCAGGGUUUGACAUGUAUCUGCAUAUCUUUGGAAACAUAGAUAGCCUUCGAGGGUGAUACACAGGUAC